rnacentral:rRNA from 1 species
GAUGAACGCUGGCGGCGUGCUUAACACAUGCAAGUCGAACGGGAAAUACUUCAUUGAGACUUCGGUGGAUUUGAUUUAUUUCUAGUGGCGGACGGGUGAGUAACGCGUGGGUAACCUGCCUUAUACAGGGGGAUAACAGUCAGAAAUGGCUGCUAAUACCGCAUAAGCGCACAGAGCUGCAUGGCUCAGUGUGAAAAACUCCGGUGGUAUAAGAUGGACCCGCGUUGGAUUAGCUGGUUGGUGGGGUAACGGCCCACCAAGGCGACGAUCCAUAGCCGGCCUGAGAGGGUGAACGGCCACAUUGGGACUGAGACACGGCCCAGACUCCUACGGGAGGCAGCAGUGGGGAAUAUUGCACAAUGGGGGAAACCCUGAUGCAGCGACGCCGCGUGAAGGAAGAAGUAUCUCGGUAUGUAAACUUCUAUCAGCAGGGAAGAUAGUGACG